CGUACGCGUCCGGUAAUGGUCGUAGGGUGUCGCCGUGGAUUUGAUCACAAGCUCUUUGGCUUUGCAGCGUGUUUAACUCGGACGUGAUACACGACAAUAUUUCAUCACUUCGAGCAAGUUGCAAGGCCGUCAUUCCUCUUUUGGUUUUUGCUUGUAGAAGAUUCAAACCUGGAAAUAUUUGGGAAAAGAUUAAAGGAAAUUUUUAACGCUGGUCCGAGAGAGAGAGAUUGACCUAGCGUGCGAGGAUUGUGCAAUAUAUAUAGUGUUCUACUAACCGCCAGCUUGAGUGAGAAGUUUCACUACAGGAAGAUGGUUAUUAAGCACAGCAUCGUGGAGAACCGUCACACCAUGGGCCGGACACGCCAGGUCGUUUCGGAUACAAGCAACAUGAAGUGAACUUUCCCCUGGAAAGAGAAAACACAAUGUCUCAUCCAAAGAGUUUUUCACAUUUGGGAGAAGAAAGAAAUAGCAGUUGACCUGUAAGAAACGAUAGACAAUAAAUUGAUCCAUUUCAAACGUGGUGGUCCAGUGUAUACGCCACGAGGAAUGACUGCCCUGUAGGAAGAGCUUCGUGGCUUCGUAGCAAUCGGUCUUGGAUAUCUGCAUAAAUAACUGCUGUGCAAGUGAAUCGCAGGCCUGAUGUCCUGUGACGUCAUCGCGUCUUCGUAAGGUCACAGCCAUGGACAACCAGUCGAGUAACACGUGACAGACAAACAGCUGGUUCAACCAGGGCUUCGAGGUAGAGUUUUUGACGCACAGUUGGGGGGUGAACCUCAAUGAUAUUCUGCAACAAAC